rnacentral:rRNA from 1 species
ACAAGUACCGUGAGGGAAAGUUGAAAAGUACUUUGAAAAGAGAGUGCAAGAGAACGUGAAACCGACGUAAUGGAAGCAUAUGGAGUUGACGUAUCUGGUGCGUAUUCAGUUGUUGGGCUUUUCGAUUGCUUGGUUUGCUAUUCCGCAAGGUUGGCGGCUGGGUAUUGUCGGGAGGUUCGGCAAUGCAUUUACGUACGGAGUGCGCCGAGUUGUGCGGUGGUGUCAGUCGACGUUGGUUGAGAGGACAUGACUUCGGUUGUGAACCCUUGGCUUUCUUAGGCUGGUUACUGCUGCAUAAUUUUGUGGAGGCACGGGUUUUUCGCGCAAUGCGAUGUUGGCUUGGCUUGUUUACUUUGUACGCAUGCGUCCUUGGUUUAUCGGUCUUGUCGAUGUUGUAGUGUGCUCUGUGCUCUUCUCGGUGUAUAGUCAAUGACCCAUUUGACCCGUCUUGAAACACGGACCAAGGAGUUUAUGGUAUACGCAAGUCAUUGGGCUUUCUAAACCCAAAGGCGUAAUGAAAGUGAGAUCUUAUUGGUUUUAAUGUGAUCGGUUGUUGUUUCGACGGCUGCCGAGCAACAUUGCCCCGUUUCGAAGACUUGUCUUGUUGCGGAGGUUGAGCGUAUGCUAUGAGACCCGAAAGAUGGUGAACUAUGCCUGAACAGGAUGAAGCCAGAGGAAACUCUGGUGGAAGUCCGAAGCGGUUCUGACGUGCAAAUCGAUCGUCUGAUUUUGGUAUAGGGGCGCAAGACUAAUCGAACCAUCUAGUAGCUGGUUCCUUCCGA